rnacentral:rRNA from 1 species
UACGUAGGGCGCGAGCGUUAAUCGGAAUUACUGGGCGUAAAGCGUGCGUAGGCGGUUCGUUAUGUCUGCUGUGAAAGCCCCGGGCUUAACCUGGGAAUGGCAGUGGAAACUGGCGGGCUUGAGUGUGGCAGAGGGGGGUGGAAUUCCGCGUGUAGCAGUGAAAUGCGUAGAGAUGCGGAGGAACACCGAUGGCGAAGGCAGCCCCCUGGGCUGACACUGACGCUGAGGCACGAAAGCGUGGGGAGCAAACAGG